CAAAUAUUUACCUCUCUCAGUCUAAGUAUUUUCCUUCACGCUGAUUAAUUAACCUGUCCUUUUAGAUCCAAGAACAUACUCAAUUAAAGGGGUUGUUGUUUCGUCAAAUAAAAUUAAAGGGGUUGUUUAUUCUAAGUGCGUGGCAGAAUGUUACUCAUAUCUAUCGUCAUUUGCAAAUUUUUUAACACAAAGUAGUGUAUACUGCCAGUGCCCCCCAUGGCGAUGAGAGAGACCUUGCAGCUAGCAGCAGCCAAUGGUAGUGUGGCAACUUCAGAUCCACACACAGUGCACCACCAAGAUCCAGCCACGUGCGGGUCAGCCGCGCGCACGGACGGCCAGAAAUCAUUGGGCAAUGAUGCCGCGGUGAUUGUCAAAAAAAAAAAGUCAAAGCCUAGGGAUUUGGUGUAAAAAAAGGCAAGAUUUACCAGCACCAGAGUAGAAUAGCACUCUGACAAUGCUUCUCGGAAGCAGUAAAAUUCAUGGGAAGAGAAGCGAAGAGAAGCAGCGACAGGCAGCAGAGAAGCCGGAGAAUGAAACGGGUGGGUGGCAAGAUUCCCGGGGGGCGCUCACGUGAGGGAAAGAGGUCGUCACGUGACCCUGGCUUGGCGGAGUAAAAUGAGACCAC
rnacentral:lncRNA from 1 species